rnacentral:rRNA from 1 species
UACGUAGGGGGCAAGCGUUGUCCGGAUUUAUUGGGCGUAAAGAGCGUGUAGGCGGUUUGGUAGGUCCGCUGUGAAAACUCGAGGCUCAACCUCGAGACGCCGGUGGAAACCAUCAGACUAGAGUCCGGAAGAGGAGAGUGGAAUUCUUGGUGUAGCAGUGAAAUGCGUAGAUAUCAAGAGGAACACCGGUGGCGAAGGCGGCUCUCUGGAAGAUUCCUGACUCUGAGACACGAAAGCUAGGGGAGCAAACGGG